UAAAAAAUUCAACCAAUUUUAAUUUGGCUUCAUAUUUGCCGCCUAUUGGACCUCCUUGUUACAUUUGGUCAUUUGUAGUUACUAUUUUAAUCAUUUUCUCAUUUAGAUAUCAUGAAUAUAACAAGAGUUAAGGGGAUCCAUAAGUCAUAACUCAUUACCACAGGAUAAUGACAAAAAUACACCAGCCGAAGCGACAAAAAUCUUAUUAUAUCAUUGUUGUAAGGACUUUGGACAAUGUGAUUUGCUUCUUUUCAUUUGCAUGUUGAAUAAUUUGAAUUGCAUGGAUUACAUGAUGAUUGUUUUCUUCAUGAUGAGUAAGUCCGUACACGAACCAAGAUUGCUAGAUCCCAUAGCGCGUCUGAGUCAGAGUAUUGACUUCUUGUAGGUGUGGGAGGGCGUGUGGGAGGGCGUGUGAUCGUAUUAUCACAACUAAGAAAAGCAUGAUCAUUGUUCAAAGUCAAUUCAAGUUCGCUUAACCUGUUAAGCUCUGGCAUGACAACUGUUACAGGGUUUGGCCUGUCCUUCUUGGUGAGUUCUGCAUACUUCAAUGCUAAUUUGGCAAGUGAUAGAGGUGAUAGUUAUAUAAAAGUAUUUUGAUUUAUUGAAUAAGUUUGUGUAACUUUAUUGAAUUAGUAAAAAUUUUCUUCAAUAGUGUGUGAAGAUUUUAUAUUUAUUGAGAGUGAUAUAUGUUGUUAUCAACUCUUUCAUCGAGUAGAACUUUAAAGAAUAAA